rnacentral:rRNA from 1 species
GUGGGGAAUAUUGGACAAUGGGGGCAACCCUGAUCCAGCAAUGCCGCGUGAGUGAUGAAGGCCUUAGGGUUGUAAAGCUCUUUUACCGGGGACGAUGAUGACGGUACCCGGAGAAUAAGCCCCGGCUAACUUCGUGCCAGCAGCCGCGGUAAUACGAAGGGGGCGAGCGUUGUUCGGAGUUACUGGGCGUAAAGGGCGCGUAGGCGGCGCUCCAAGUUAGGCGUGAAAGCCCCGGGCUCAACCUGGGAAUUGCGCUUAAGACUGGAGUGCUCGAGUGCGGAAGAGGUGAGUGGAAUUCCCAGUGUAGAGGUGAAAUUCGUAGAUAUUGGGAAGAACACCAGUGGCGAAGGCGGCUCACUGGUCCGCAACUGACGCUGAGGCGCGAAAGCGUGGGGAGCAAACAGGAUUAGAAACCCGAGUAGUCC